CUCACCAAGGCAACGAUGCGUAGCCGACUUGAGAGGGUGAUCGGCCACACUGGGACUGAGACACGGCCCAGACUCCUACGGGAGGCAGCAGUAGGGAAUCUUCCGCAAUGGACGAAAGUCUGACGGAGCAACGCCGCGUGAGUGAUGAAGGUUUUCGGAUCGUAAAACUCUGUUGUUAGGGAAGAACAAGUAUCGUUCGAAUAGGGCGGUACCUUGACGGUACCUAACCAGAAAGCCACGGCUAACUACGUGCCAGCAGCCGCGGUAAUACGUAGGUGGCAAGCGUUGUCCGGAAUUAUUGGGCGUAAAGCGCGCGCAGGCGGUUUCUUAAGUCUGAUGUGAAAGCCCACGGCUCAACCGUGGAGGGUCAUUGGAAACUGGGAGACUUGAGUGCAGAAGAGGAGAGUGGAAUUCCACGUGUAGCGGUGAAAUGCGUAGAGAUGUGGAGGAACACCAGUGGCGAAGGCGACUCUCUGGUCUGUAACUGACGCUGAGGCGCGAAAGCGUGGGGAGCGAACAGGAUUAGAUACCCUGGUAGUCCACGCCGUAAACGAUGAGUGCUAAGUGUUAGAGGGUUUCCGCCCUU
rnacentral:rRNA from 1 species